rnacentral:rRNA from 1 species
CCUACGGGAGGCAGCAGUGGGGAAUUUUGGACAAUGGGCGCAAGCCUGAUCCAGCCAUUCCGCGUGAGUGAAGAAGGCCUUCGGGUUGUAAAGCUCUUUCGCAAGGGAAGAAACGAUUCAUCCUAAUACGGUGAGUUAAUGACGGUACCUUGAUAAGAAGCACCGGCUAACUACGUGCCAGCAGCCGCGGUAAUACGUAGGGUGCGAGCGUUAAUCGGAAUUACUGGGCGUAAAGCGUGCGCAGGCGGUUUUGUAAGUCAGAUGUGAAAUCCCCGGGCUCAACCUGGGAACUGCGUUUGAAACUACAAGGCUAGAAUAUGUCAGAGGGGGGUAGAAUUCCACGUGUAGCAGUGAAAUGCGUAGAGAUGUGGAGGAAUACCAAUGGCGAAGGCAGCCCCCUGGGAUAAUAUUGACGCUCAUGCACGAAAGCGUGGGGAGCA